UUGUGCUUGAUCUAACCAUGCAGUGCGUCCUGUGUCCAUGGUUGUGCCAAGCACCUUG
rnacentral:pre_miRNA from 1 species